ACGGAGGGAGCAAGCGUUACUCGGAAUUAUUGGGCGUAAAGAGCUCGUAGGCGGUCUGUCGCGUCGGCUGUGAAAACCCGGAGCUCAACUCCGGGCCUGCAGUCGAUACGGGCAAACUGGAGUGUUGCAGGGGAGACUGGAAUUCCUGGUGUAGCGGUGAAAUGCGCAGAUAUCAGGAGGAACACCGGUGGCGAAGGCGGGUCUCUGGGCAACAACUGACGCUGAGGAGCGAAAGCGUGGGGAGCGAACAGG
rnacentral:rRNA from 1 species